AAACCAGAAUCGCUUCCUUCCUGUUCAUCAGAGCGAACGAGAGCAAAGGACUCCGCCGUCGUCGAGAAAGGCUCGAUCUCAUCAACCUCGAUUCAUUCCCGGUGGAAGAAGCCCUCUUCUCCCCUCGGGCUGUUCGCAUCUCAGCUCGCGCAAGGUAGCACGACGACAUGGACGGUCAUGGCGGUUUGAACAUCCUUCCCCAGAAACGUUGGAAUGUGUACAAUUAUGAGAACAGAGAGAAGGUCCAGAAAGAUGAAGAGGCUGCCGUGAAAGAGGA